UACGUAGGGGGCAAGCGUUAUCCGGAUUUACUGGGUGUAAAGGGAGCGUAGACGGCAAUACAAGUCGGAAGUGAAAUACCCGGGCUCAACCUGGGAACUGCUUUGGAAACUGUAUGGCUGGAGUGCUGGAGAGGUAAGCGGAAUUCCUAGUGUAGCGGUGAAAUGCGUAGAUAUUAGGAAGAACACCAGUGGCGAAGGCGGCUUUCUGGACUGAAACUGACGCUGAGGCACGAAAGCGUGGGGAGCGAACAGG
rnacentral:rRNA from 1 species